rnacentral:rRNA from 1 species
UUGGGGCGAACAAAUUUUAAUCCAAUUUGGCGUAAGAUCUGGAACUUAUCUUGUCCGAUGAAGGUUAAUUUUUUUUAUUUGAGGGCGUUGCAUGGCACUCUCCCAUGUCGCGUUACACUAGCCAAUAGACAUAUGAAAGUUUCGCCAAUUUGUCCUUCGUGUUCGUCUGGGCAAGAAGAUACAAAACAUUUGUUGUUUCAGUGCCAGAAAGCUAAGGAGGUGUGGAGAAGACUUGGUUUGGAUGGAGUUAUUUCUAGUGCUUGUGAAGUUGAUUAUGCUGGUGAGGCUGUCCUAGAAUUCUUAUUACAAUUGCCAAACCAAGAUUUAGCUAUUUUGGGAACCCAAAAUAUGUGUGAGAUGAUUGCCAUCACAACAUGGUAUUUAUGGUGGGAAAGACGUAAACUUGUGCAUAAGGAGAAAAUUCAAGAUGCUAAGCAGAUAUCUAUGGGGAUUCAAGCUCUUACGGCCAAUUAUGUUAUUGCUUCCUCUCCUAAUGCUUCCAUGAAGAGGGGGGGGGGGGUUGGAGUCGACCCCCCAUGGGCUUUGUGA